GCCUAACUCCUUUGGAACUGACUCCGUUAACUCUUUGAGGACAGCAGUAGGUUUUAGAGGAUCAGCUUCUGUUUUCUUUCAGCAAAGCCAAUGCCAUCUUUCAGGCAUGAGUCAGCAUUAUUCUAGAACACCUAUGACAUGUGAAUCAAAAAGAAGCUUUUCUCUUCUAAAACAGAGCGCAGACGGGAGAAGCAGGAGGCUCUGAUAAAUUCCUUGGAGGUUCUGGAGCCACCGUGAAAAGGAAGGGAAGGAUUGGUGGCAGUCUUGUAUUGAGCAAGUCUAUUGAUGCCAUUUUUUCCACAUGCAACAGGAAGUUCAGAGAACUGCACUAAUCAUAAGCUCUCCAGAGUCCAUCUGCAAUGCUGUGUAUUCAACUAGACCUGAUCCUGAUCCUAUGAAAAGUCAGCAUACUGCCUAGAAAGAAAGUGCUCAUCAGUUUGACGCAAAUGUCUCAGAUUGGGCAGCUACAAUUAGAGUAAAUACAACCUGAAACUGUUGUAUCCUAGAGACCAAGGCCAGCUCCCUAUGACUUUCCCUUGGUGUUGCUACAACUGCCAAAUAGGGAUGAUUACAAAUCUUGCUCCUUCCCACAAAAAGGCUUUUAUGAACUAUAAUGAUAAAAUAUUGACAAAGCAUUUUUGAAUUUGUGGUUCAGAUAUUCCUGGAAUAUCUCAAUGAAUUCAGAGUUUUGGGUUUAAAGAUCAAAGAAUGAGGUCUAAUAAAUUAUGUAUUUCAGUUUAA